CCUCUCAUAGCUCAGUUGGAAGAGCGAAGCAUUGUAAUCCCCUGACCCCGCAUUGAGCGGGCGUCACAUGAAUUUCCAGACCUGCUUAGGUCGCCCGUUCGAUCCGGGCUGAGAGGA